UACGAAGGGGGCUAGCGUUGUUCGGAAUUACUGGGCGUAAAGCGCACGUAGGCGGACUUUUAAGUCAGGGGUGAAAUCCCGGGGCUCAACCUCGGAACUGCCUUUGAUACUGGAAGUCUUGAGUAUGGAAGAGGUAAGUGGAAUUGCGAGUGUAGAGGUGAAAUUCGUAGAUAUUCGCAGGAACACCAGUGGCGAAGGCGGCUCACUGGACCGGCAUUGACGCUGAGGUGCGAAAGCGUGGGGAGCAAACAGG
rnacentral:rRNA from 1 species